UCUCCUGGAGAAAGGCGGAAGGAAUGCGGACCUUUCUGAAGUGACGGCCGCUCCAGCCUAUCAGAGGCAGGAUCAGGAAGGCGGGGCGGAAGACUGGAAGAAUGAAACGGAUUGACGGAGCGGGUAGCCAAUGAGAGGCUUGACUCAGACAGUACCGGACGAUUAGAGGACCUGUCCGGGAAGGGAAAUGGGGCUACAUCCAGGUGCCGCUGCUGCUGGGCUACCUUCUGAAAGAGUUGCUGGAUUCUGCUGUUCUGGGUCUUGAGCUGAGUCUGAGGAGAGCGUGAAAACCCUGAAGGAAAAUUCCUUCUCAAGUAAUACGCUGACAAGCGCCAUACCCCGGGAUUUGGCCGGAGAGGCGCGCCUCCUGGUGGCGAAUCGGAGAGCGGCUCGUGCGCGUCCCUUGCCGCUGUCCCGGGCUCCACGGAGGGAAGGGAAGAGCUUCUGGCUGCUGAGAGUUCCCUGUGCGCUACUCCUGAGGCCAGAGGGGCACUGGAGGUGGCCUUGAGGUCCCAUCCUAUAGGCUGAGGGAUUCAAAGGAGGAGCCAAAGAUGAGUAGCAACUUUCCUCCUCCUCCCCCCACUUCCUCCUCCUUUUAAGCCAUCACAUUUAUUUGACAGCAAUUCAGUCAUUUGUCAAUGAAUUGAGGACCGAUUGUGUGCCAGGUCCCGUUCAAAGCACUGGACAAAGGCCCUUGCCCUAAUGGAGGUCGCAUAGUGACUGUGUGAGAGAAAUCCAGUAAACAAAUAAAGAAAAUACAUAGCAUGUUACAUGGUGAUCAGUACUAAGCAGAAAAAUAAAUCCAAGAAGGGGAGACAGGAGAUAGGAGGAGUCCUGGCAGUUUGUAAAUAGAGUGGUCAGGAACCGUCUCAUUGAGAAGAGGAUGUAUGAGUAGUGAUAUGAAGGAGGUGAAGAGGUAAGUCUGGUAGGUAUCUGGAAAAAGAACAUUCUCGGAAAAGGGAAUAGUCAGUACAAAGGUCCUGAGGUUCCCAAGGCAGGACUAUUCCUGAUGUGUUUGAGGAAGAAGGCCGGCGUGGGGGCAGGGAAGAGAGAGAAAGGGGAAAAGAAAAGAGAAUAGUACCCAAAUGUGUUAAUAGGUUAGCAUUUGGUGGAUUUGGGUAAGGAAGACACA